rnacentral:rRNA from 1 species
GACGAACGCUGGCGGCGUGCUUAACACAUGCAAGUCGAACGGAAAGGCCCUGCUUGCAGGGUACUCGAGUGGCGAACGGGUGAGUAACACGUGGGUGAUCUGCCCUGCACUUCGGGAUAAGCCUGGGAAACUGGGUCUAAUACCGGAUAGGAGCCAUUUUUAGUGUGAUGGUUGGAAAGUUUUUUCGGUGUAGGAUGAGCUCGCGGCCUAUCAGCUUGUUGGUGGGGUAAUGGCCUACCAAGGCGGCGACGGGUAGCCGGCCUGAGAGGGUGGACGGCCACAUUGGGACUGAGAGACGGCCCAGACUCCUACGGGAGGCAGCAGUGGGGAAUAUUGCACAAUGGGCGCAAGCCUGAUGCAGCGACGCCGCGUGGGGGAUGACGGCCUUCGGGUUGUAAACUCCUUUCGCUAGGGACGAAGCUUUUUGUGACGGUACCUAGAUAAGAAGCCCCGGCUAACUACGUG